GCAUUGGUAGUUCAAUGGUAGAAUUCUUGUCUACCAUGCGGGAGACCUGGGUUCAUUUCCCAGGCAAUCCU
rnacentral:tRNA from 1 species